rnacentral:rRNA from 1 species
GACGAACCGUGCGAACGUCGUUUGGAAUCACUGGGCUUAAAGGGCGCGUAGGCGGGCUGUCAAGUCUGGGGUGAAAUGCCGCGGCUCAACCGUGGAACUGCCUUAGAUACUGACGGCCUCGAGGAAGGUAGGGGCAUGCGGAACUGUAGGUGGAGCGGUGAAAUGCGUUGAUAUCUACAGGAACUCCGGUGGCGAAAGCGGCGUGCUGGACCUUUUCUGACGCUGAGACGCGAAAGCGUGGGGAGCAAACAGG